rnacentral:rRNA from 1 species
AGUGAACGCUGGCGGUAGGCCUAACACAUGCAAGUCGAACGUCAGCACAGUAAGAGCUUGCUCUUACGGGUGGCGAGUGGCGGACGGGUGAGGAAUACAUCGGAAUCUACUUUUUCGUGGGGGAUAACGUAGGGAAACUUACGCUAAUACCGCAUACGACCUACGGGUGAAAGCAGGGGAUCUUCGGACCUUGCGCGAUUGAAUGGGCCGAUGUCGGAUUAGCUAGUUGGCGGGGUAAAGGCCCACCAAGGCGACGAUCCGUAGCUGGUCUGAGAGGAUGAUCAGCCACACUGGAACUGAGACACGGUCCAGACUCCUACGGGAGGCAGCAGUGGGGAAUAUUGGACAAUGGGCGCAAGCCUGAUCCAGCCAUACCGCGUGGGUGAAGAAGGCCUUCGGGUUGUAAAGCCCUUUUGUUGGGAAAGAAAAGCAGCAGGUUAAUACCCCGCUGUUCUGACGGUACCCAAAGAAUAAGCACCGGCUAACUUCGUG